rnacentral:rRNA from 1 species
GACGAACGCUGGCGGCGUGCUUAACACAUGCAAGUCGAACGGCGAAGCGCCUUCCGUUUUGGUGGGUGUGGAUGAGUGGCGAACGGGUGAGUAACACGUGAGUAACCUGCCCCCUUCUUCUGGAUAACCGCAUGAAAGUGUGGCUAAUACGGGAUAUUCUGGGUCUGUCGCAUGAUGGGUCUGGGAAAGAUAUUGCUUCGGUGGGGGAUGGGCUCGCGGCCUAUCAGCUUGUUGGUGGGGUGAUGGCCUACCAAGGCGGUGACGGGUAGCCGGCCUGGGAGGGUGGACGGUCACACUGGGAAUGGGGCACGGCCCAACCUCCUACGGGAGGCAGAAGUGGGGAAUAUUGCACAAUGGGCGCAAGCCUAAUGCAGCGACGCCGCGUGAGGGAUGGAGGCCUUCGGGUUGUGAACCUCUUUCGCCAGUGAAGCAGGCUUGCCUCGUAUGUGGGUGGGUUGACGGUAGCUGGAUAAGAAGCGCCGGCUAACUACGUG